rnacentral:rRNA from 1 species
UACAUAGGUGGCAAGCGUUAUCCGGAAUUAUUGGGCGUAAAGAGCGCGCAGGUGGUUGAUUAAGUCUGAUGUGAAAGCCCACGGCUUAACCGUGGAGGGUCAUUGGAAACUGAUCGACUUGAGUGCAGAAGAGGGAAGUGGAAUUCCAUGUGUAGCGGUGAAAUGCGUAGAGAUAUGGAGGAACACCAGUGGCGAAGGCGGCUUCCUGGUCUGUAACUGACACUGAGGCGCGAAAGCGUGGGGAGCAAACAGGAUUA